GAGAAGAAGGGGAAAAAAAUAAAAAAUAAAAUAAUAUAAAAAUUUCUUCCCCGCCACUGGCGCCGCGGAUGCGAACCGGGAGCUGCUCGGCUGCCUUGGGACCGGUGCUGGGCCCCAAAGCGGCCCCAAAACUUUGUGGGAAGGGGCUGGGACGUAGCCCCCAUCCCAGCUGGGGCAGUGCUGGUCCCGCUGUGAUGCUGUGGGGCAUGGAUGGAGCCACGCUGGGCUCUAAGGGAGAGUUUUGGAGGCCUCGCCGCCUCUUAAAUCCGGCCUCAUCUUCUCCUCUUGACUCGCUGUGGCUCAGCAGGAGGGUUAUGGACAUGGAUGGCUGUGAAAUUCUCCGCUGCCCAUCUCCCAGGCCACAGGGUUUGGAUGGCUUCGGUGCCAUGGGACACGCCAGGAGAGGGUAAACAGCGCGGCUUGUCGAAAACGCUCACCUCUCCUGAUUAAUUUACCCCUAAUGACAAAGAUGGCUCUGCAAUCAGCGCGGGCAUGCGGGGAGUGAAAUCCGCCUGGUUCUCCCUGUUAGCAGGGCUGACUGGGGAGAGGGGCCGGCACCGAGCGGAGGGGAGGGCGCUGCGCAGGGCCCCGAUCGAUUCUAUUUACCCAUCCGGAGCGAGAUUGGAUUUAUUGUCAGUGGGAAGAAGACAAACUGAUCACUUCUGCUCGGCGCCGUAUUGGCACUUCCAAGAUCUGCUGAAGGAGGGGAAACUUGGAGGAGUUCGGCUUGGUUUUUAACCCUCUUCUGAACCGCCCCUCCUCUGUCCUUUGUGCACAGGGUCCUGGUUUCCCCCAAGCUCACCCACAGAAGCCCCCGCUCACUUUGGGCUGUGCUGGGGGGCUGCAGGCGGUGACUCGAUGUGGCCAUGAGAGGCCGGAGGAUUCCCAGCGGUGUGAACCAGCCGGGUGUCCAGCGGCCACAGCACCUUCGUGGUGCCAUCAGGCUGCUCCGGGGGACACCGGGGAGCCACUGGAGAUGUUGGGAAGUGGGAAUGGGGGAAAAAGCUCUUCUAUUCUCACUGCAGGACAAAAACCAUCCAGUGGUGUUCAGGCAGGCCGAGAGGCAGGAUGGUCUGCCCGAGACAAGGCAGAAUAAGGACAGACAAGGCUGUCGAACUUCUCCUUCGCCAGUUCCUUUUGCCUCUGUCAGGUUUUGAAGACGUAAACCAAACCAUCCCCUCCAUUUAAAUCAUGUACCUAAUCCCCUAACUCUCUUAAUUAAGCAGAGGGAAGUUUAAAUUGUUCUGACCAUCUUUGGGGGGAUUAUAUAUUUCAAUCAUCAUUAUAGUGUGGCUAUUUGUGAUACCACGAGAUAGAUAGGUAUAUCCGUUGUAUAAUCAGGCAUACAAAUUAUAAUCCCCCCAAAGACGUUUAAAUAACAAUUUAAAAUGCCGACUGCUGGACGUAGGGCACGGGAAGAUUAAAAGUGAAUGUGGACAGGGGGCGCCUUCAAGGACUUGGGUGAGCCCCUGUCCUGCAGCUCUCCCCCGUGGCAUUGGGAUGGGUGACUUUGGGUGCGUGGCAGGGGGAAGGGGCUCUCGUCCUGGGGUCCUUCCCACUCAGCAGCACAAGGAUUCAUCACCCUGCAGAGCUCGGGGUGCCAGGAGGGAGCAGCUUCCCUCCCUCAGGGUGCAGCGAGGCGCUCAUUACCUCCGCUGCGAGCCGCGGAUGUGCACGGAGGGCAGGACGUGGUCCGGAGCUGUCUCGUUUUCCCGGAGCUGCACAUGGGGGUCCCUGCUGACAUUAACAGGAGCUGCUGAAGCAUAUCGAGAGAAGAGGAGAUGCUACGAGCGCUCGCUCUCACAGCAAAACUGCUCAGGGGUGUCUCUGUAACUGUGAAAUCAGGCCUUUUGAAAGCAUGGAUUAUUGACUGAGUAGAUCUAGCUAGCUCCUUUAGGGCCAUUAGUCCUCAUAUGCACUUGGUUAUUUUACACAAGAAACAUACAGGGGAGAUUGUAUCCUUCUUAGGGUGGGGGUGGCGUGGAAGAGGAAUUUUCCUGCUCCUCAGGAGUAAGUGAAAAUGACUGCCUGAGACCUGCUAGAACAAAAAGAGACACAUGUCUGAGGAAAUAAAGCCACUUUCUGACUUGACA
rnacentral:lncRNA from 1 species